rnacentral:tRNA from 1 species
GCCGGGGUGGUGGAACUUGGUAGACACAAGGGACUUAAAAUCCCUUGGACCUUAGCGUCCGUGCCGGUUCGAGUCCGGCCCUCGGCA